GAGACGAAGCGAGACGACGGCUGAAGUCAGACCUGUGGAAAUGUUUCUAUUUUACCUCUUUGUGCUUCAGUCUGCAGCAGUGGCGGCAUUUGUUCAGAGAGCAGGAGAGGACGUCACUCUGACUUGUGAAAAUAAGGUAGAGGGUCAACGGAACUGUAAUGGGACAAAGUGGAUCUAUUUUCCUGGAAACAGUUAUGUCGUGAAGCUGGUUGAAUUUGGGAAGAUUAAAGACUACAGUGACAUAACAUCAGACAGAAUGAGAGUUGCAGCAGAUUGCUCUCUGAUUCUGAGGAAAGUCACAGAAAAACAAGUUGGUCAUUAUUAUUGUGGACAAUUCAAAUCAGACAGUUCAAAGCAACCCGUUCUAGUUAGCUGGUCUUUCGUGGAUCUGUCUGUCGUCAACAUCUUGACUGAACAUGAAUCCGAUGACGAGGAGACACUGAAAUGCUUUGUGAAGUCUAAAAAGGAAAACUGUGAACUGGAAGUGAAGUGGACGAUCAAAGAUCAGGAUAUUGAUGAAGUCAACAGUCAGAUAAAGACAGAAAAGAAUGGAUGUUCUGCCACUGUGACUCUUAAAAAGUCACAUUAUCUUCACCCACUAACACACUUCCUGAGCUGUGAAGUGACUGACAACAGAACAGGAGAAAAGCUUCGUUUCAGUCCUCGACCCUCAGGUGACACGAAAUCAACAAUGAAACCAGAAAGCUUCACAAAAUCAGCUGGAACUGAAACCAGUGGAGCUUCAGCAGGUCCACAAGGUAACGACUCCAUUUACUGUAUCAGUUAAAUGUGCUGUGUUGUACUUUUGGUCUUCAAAAGAAGCGUCCAGUUUACUCAGUGGCUCAGAUGGGUCAUCACAU
ensembl:lncRNA